rnacentral:misc_RNA from 1 species
CAACCCUCAAGCCUGGCUUGGUGUUGGGCGCGGCCCGCCCGCGGCCGGCCCUAAAGACAGUGGCGGCGCCGCCUGGCCCUGAGCGCAGUACAGCUCUCGCUCCAGGGCCCUGCGGCAGCCUGCCAGAACCCCCCGACUCUGU